CAGUCGCCACGGUAACACCAGCACCUCGAGUGGUCAGGAGGUUUAUUGGGCCUAAAGCAUCCGUAGCCGGUUGCAUAAGUUUUCGGUUAAAUCUAUGCGCUUAACGUAUAGGCCGCCGAAAAUACUGUGCAGCUAGGGAGUGGGAGAGGUACACGGUACUCGAUAGGAAGGGGUAAAAUCCUUUGAUCUAUUGAUGACCACCUGUGGCGAAGGCGGUGUACCAGAACACGUUCGACGGUGAGGGAUGAAAGCUGGGGGAGCAAACCGGAUUAGAUACCCCCGUAGUCCCUGUCUCUUAUAC
rnacentral:rRNA from 1 species